rnacentral:rRNA from 1 species
UACGUAGGGGGCAAGCGUUGUCCGGAAUCAUUGGGCGUAAAGAGCGUGUAGGCGGCUCGGUAAGUCCGCUGUAAAAGUCCAGGGCUCAACCCUGGAAAGCCGGUGGAAACUGUCGAGCUAGAGUCCGGAAGAGGCGAGUGGAAUUCCUGGUGUAGCGGUGAAAUGCGCAGAUAUCAGGAGGAACACCAAUGGCGAAGGCAGCUCGCUGGGCCACUACUGACGCUGAGAAGCGAAAGCAUGGGGAGCGAACAGG